UGGGGAAUAUUGCACAAUGGGGGAAACCCUGAUGCAGCGACUCCGCGUGCACGAAGAAGGUAUUCGUAUCGUAAAGUUCUGUCAUAUGGGAAGAUAAUGACAGUACCAUAGAAGAAAGCUCCGGCUAAAUACGUGCCAGCAGCCGCGGUAAUACGUAUGGAGCGAGCGUUGUCCGGAAUUAUUGGGCGUAAAGGGUACGCAGGCGGUUUAAUAAUUCGAAUGGUAAAGAUCGGGGCUCAACCCCGUAAAGCAUUGGAAACUGAUAAACUUGAGUAGUGGAGAGGAAAGUGGAAUUCCUAGUGUAGUGGUGAAAUACGUAGAUAUUAGGAGGAAUACCAGUAGCGAAGGCGACUUUCUGGACACAAACUGACGCUGAGGUACGAAAGCGUGGGGAGCAAACAGG
rnacentral:rRNA from 1 species